ACGGCGUGGCCCGGCCGGCCGCCCGCUCGGAGCGGGUGCGGGCCGCGCUGUCGCGGUUCUACUUCGCCGACGCCGUC
rnacentral:tRNA from 1 species